GGAAGAUGCUGACGGUAUCAGCAGCCAUGGUCUGCGCCGUAGCCGUAGCGUCUAUAUGCGGGGCUUCAUCUUCCCCAGAAUCACGCUUCAUCAAAAACACCAUCGCCUCCCAUCAGAUCGUCAUAUUCUCCAAGUCCUAUUGCCCGUACUGUAGAAGGGCAAAAGCUGUUUUCAAGGAAUUGCACAAAGUUCCUCAUGUUGUUGAGCUGGAUCAAAGAGAUGAUGGGAGUGUCAUUCAAGAUGCUCUAAG
rnacentral:misc_RNA from 1 species